rnacentral:rRNA from 1 species
AGAGUUUGAUCCUGGCUCAGAUUGAACGCUGGCGGCAUGCUUUACACAUGCAAGUCGAACGGUAACAGGUCUUCGGAUGCUGACGAGUGGCGAACGGGUGAGUAAUACAUCGGAACGUGCCUAGUAGUGGGGGAUAACUACUCGAAAGAGUAGCUAUACCGCAUGAGAUCUACGGAUGAAAGCAGGGGACCUUUGGGCCUUGUGCUACUAGAGCGGCUGAUGGCAGAUUAGGUAGUUGGUGGGGUAAAGGCUUACCAAGCCUGCGAUCUGUAGCUGGUCUGAGAGGACGACCAGCCACACUGGGACUGAGACACGGCCCAGACUCCUACGGGAGGCAGCAGUGGGGAAUUUUGGACAAUGGGCGAAAGCCUGAUCCAGCAAUGCCGCGUGCAGGAUGAAGGCCCUCGGGUUGUAAACUGCUUUUGUACGGAACGAAAAGCCUGGGGCUAAUAUCCCCGGGUCAUGACGGUACCGUAAGAAUAAGCACCGGCUAACUACGUGCCAGCAGCCGCGGUAAUACGUAGGGUGCAAGCGU